rnacentral:tRNA from 1 species
GCCUCCAUAGCAUAGUGGCAGUGCGUUCGCUUCGUAAGCGAAAGGUUGUGAGUUCAAUCCUCACUAGAGGCU